GCUGUCCUAGAUCUGUCAAUGCCACAGGCACAGCACAUUUGCUCAGCUGUGCCUGUGGCAUUGAGGGGUAAAGAGUAAGUGGCUGUUUCUAACCUCAAUGUUCAGAAGCUAGUGAGCAGUAAGAAUGGGUUAUAGCAUGACAUUU